rnacentral:lncRNA from 1 species
AAAAUGGAAAUCCACACCAAAACUGUCACAUCCCGACCCUUAUAUUUUUAUCUUAUUUAUUAGCUUGAUUAUAAUAAGAAUUUUACCGUCUCCGUCAUUGAGGUAAUAGUUUAAUCGGUCCCUAGAGGUGUUUUGAGGGAAGAUUAAUUUCGGGGAAUUAUUCGUGGGAGAAAAUAUGACAACGGUAAAAAUGGUAAAUUUUAGCUAGUAAAAGGUAAUUUUUAUUCGGGUAUUAUUUUUCGGGGUGUUUUAUUUUGGAUUUGGGUGGUAUAAGAAGGUUGGACCGGGCCAAGGGGUGGUCAAAGCCCAGCCCUUUUUCUCUCUCUCUCCCUCCCGGUUUUUCCGCACCCGAGCCCUCUCUCCCCGCCGGUUUUCUUCUUGGCUGUCCGUCGUCGUCCGGCCACCAACCGCCGCUGCACCGGUCCCGUUCAGUUGGCCUCCGACCCAGCUACAUCCCUGGACCGGUGACAGCUCCCCUAGCACCGUCGUGAGGAAGAUAUCGGGCCCGAGAGGUCCGACUGUGUUAAGCCUCCCGACGUCUGAACUCCCUCCUCCGGCCACCAAAACCGGCGAUCCUUGGCUCGUUUUGUAGCCCUCCUCCCGUGCAGCAACCCCUCCAAACAGCUCACCCUCUCUUGAGCUUGGUAAGGAGAAAGGUGAAGUUGAAAUUCUAGAGCGUUUUUUAUGUUUUUAGUCGAUUACCCUAGUUAGGCUUGGAAUUGGUGUUUGUGCUAGUUAAGAAAGUUGUAGAGCAUGAUAAGAGGAUUAUUCUGUCAAAAUUUCAUAGGAAUCGGAGGUCGCCGGAAUUGGCCUCCGGCCGCCGCCGGCGCCGCCACCGGUUGGGAGAUUUUUAAUGUUGUUAAAUUUGGAAUAUUAAGGGGAGUUUAUUGAAGUGAGUUAUGGAAUUUUUGGAUGAGUUUUGGAUAGGUUUAUGAAUUUCCGAAGUGUGGUAUUUUUGGCGGUUAAUUAAUUUAGAAUCCGGCCGUAGGAUUUAAGUCGUAUUUUUGGGGAGGUUGUAUUUACGGCUGCCGAGUAUGAUAUUUAAGUUCGGAUCGUUUCGAUUUAAGAUUAUCGAAGUUAGGCAAUGAUGAGCGUAUUUAUGGCUCUCGGGUAAUUUUGCCUAUUUUGAUUAAAUAUUGGAU